AAGGGUAUAGCUCAGUGGUAGAGCGCACGCCCAGCAGGCAUGAGGUCCUGGGUUCAAUCCCCAGUGCCUCCA
rnacentral:tRNA from 1 species